AGAGUUUGAUCAUGGCUCAGAACGAACGUUGGCGGCAGGCUUAACACAUGCAAGUCGAGCGCUCUCUUCGGAGAGAGCGGCAGACGGGUGAGUAACGCGUGGGAACAUACCUAAUAGUAAGGAAUAACAUUUGGAAACGAAUGCUAAUACCGUAUACGCCCUUAGGGGGAAAGAUUUAUCGCUAUUAGAUUGGCCCGCGUUGGAUUAGUUAGUUGGUGGGGUAAUGGCUUACCAAGACUACGAUCUAUAGCUGGUCUGAGA
rnacentral:rRNA from 1 species